GCAGUGGUUCAACGCAGAGUCUUUGCGAGAUUAUGUAGUUUUAUAUAGGUGAUAAGCUAUAAGCCGCUAUGUUUUGUUCAUGACUGUAGAGUUUCGUUUAUUCGUAAUGUUUUACGUGCGUGUU